UCCGUAGGUGAACCUGCGGAAGGAUCAUUAACCAGUUUUGAAAGGGGUUGUAGCUGGCCUCCGAGGCAUGUGCACGCCCUGCUCAUUCCACUCUACACCUGUGCACUUACUGUGGGUCUCAGGCCUGCGUCGGUCGCUUCGCGGCGUCGUCGUUCAACUGGGCUCACGUUUUACUACAAACUAUUAAAGUAUCAGAAUGUCUACUGCGAAUUAACGCAUUUAAAUACAACUUUCAGCAACGGAUCUCUUGGCUCUCGCAUCGAUGAAGAACGCAGCGAAAUGCGAUAAGUAAUGUGAAUUGCAGAAUUCAGUGAAUCAUCGAAUCUUUGAACGCACCUUGCGCUCCUUGGUAUUCCGAGGAGCAUGCCUGUUUGAGUGUCAUGAAAUUCUCAACCUAACGAGUCUUUGCGGGCUCGGUAGGCUUGGACUUGGAGGUUCUUGUCGGCCUAACGGUCGGCUCCUCUUAAAUGCAUUAGCUCGGUUCCUUGCGGAUCGGCUCACGGUGUGAUAAUUGUCUACGCCGCGACCGUUGAAGCGUUUUGGCCGGCUUCUAAUCGUCUCGUUGGAGACACUACUCUUUAUGACCUUCUGACCUCAAAUCAGGUAG
rnacentral:rRNA from 1 species